ensembl:lncRNA
GUGCCGCUUUGUUGCUUAUGAAUGGAGCGUCGCGUUUUGUGUUGCGUCGCUUGAGGACGCAGGUGAGUUAUAAUGCUCCCUCCGCUCUGACAUGCGCUCAGGAAUGCCUGCACGACUAUUAACAUGACUUCCGCGAAUCAGACUGGAGCAGAGCGAGAAUGUUACGACCUCUGACUGCAGAUGGAGGAACGCAUGAUCCUCGCACUACACGCGAGCGACCCGACACACAGCCUGCUGGAACAGAUGCUGGUUUCAUGGACCAAGAAGGACUUGCAUUUACAGUCAAGGGAAAGGAAUCAGAUUUUUUGACUCAUGAGUUCAUACCAUCUUCAUCGCACACUUUAGGAUCAGAGCAGCACAUUUGUGAGGGGUCAAACUGUCUUACUCAUGAGGGACUAAAGCCAGAUGUCAAGACCACCACACCAACACCAGCCCAGGCCUUCACAGAUGAGUAACGGUCAGGGGCUGGAUCCUACUGAGCAACUCCAAGAACCAGAAACUGAACAGAUCCUGAAGAUCAAGAGGUCUGAUCAGGGGGAUCUAAAGCGAGGUCAUGAGAAUCUCAUGACACAGAGAAGCUGUGAAUAUGAUCCAGAGGAAGGGAUGCCAGCCGUGGAGAUCACCCAACCUGAUGAGGUGAGUGGAGACCAGAAAGAUUCAUCACGCCAUGUCUUUCAAAACCAAUA